rnacentral:rRNA from 1 species
GACGAACGCUGGCGGCGUGCUUAACACAUGCAAGUCGAACGGUAAGGCCCUUCGGGGUACACGAGUGGCGAACGGGUGAGUAACACGUUGGUGAUCUGCCCUGCACUUCGGGAUAAGCCUGGGAAACUGGGUCUAAUACCGGAUAGGACCACUGCCUGCAUGGGUGGUGGUGGAAAGCUUUUGCGGUGUGGGAUGGGCCCGCGGCCUAUCAGCUUGUUGGUGGGGUGAUGGCCUACCAAGGCGACGACGGGUAGCCGGCCUGGGAGGGUGACCGGCCACACUGGGACUGAGAUACGGCCCAGACUCCUACGGGAGGCAGCAGUGGGGAAUAUUGCACAAUGGGCGCAAGCCUGAUGCAGCGACGCUGCGCGAGGGAUGACGGCCUUCGGGUUGUAAACCUCUUUCAGCACCGACGAAGCGCAAGUGACGGUAGGUGCAGAAGAAGGACCGGCCAACUACGUGCCAGCAGCCGCCGUAA